GAUUUUUUAUCUCUGAUUUUCUGCAGGUUGCAGGAGCUGACCGUUUGCUUUGAUUUUAACGUAGACGUGCACGACAUCGAGCUCAUCCAGUACAUCAAAGUGGACUGCUGUAAAUUGAAACGCCUUCUGCAAGGUUUGAUUGACUCAAACUCAGGUUUUAAUAUUCUGAAAUAAUAUAUGAAAUAUAAUCUAUUUUUCUUUUAAUGUGUCAAGUCUUUUCUUCUUGCAGAAAGUGUGUUUAAAUUUAAAGCCUUAAAUAAGCCAGCCCAGUUGAGUGCUAUCUACAAUUUAGAGAAGAGUUUGACGUUUAAGGACAAAAUGAUUGUGAAACUCAUCCAUGCAGAUCCCAAAUUGAUGCUACAUGACAGGAGUGUUUGUGAACCUGAAUCUAGGUAAACAGGUUCUGGAGGUCCACAGCAGCACUACAGAUCUCAUCACAGGCCUGGUGCAGAUUGUGCCGCUUGAGAACAUGGGAGAUAUUUCCCAGGAGGCCUUGGAGGUAAGGUCAUUGAAUCUCGCUGUGUAUCUGGUGCAUCUAGCAUGA
rnacentral:lncRNA from 1 species